AUAAUUAUGAAACGCUGCUUAGUGCACUUAUCCGACACUGCAUGGCGUGACUGUACUAUCUUGUCUGUGGUUCGAGGGUGAGAUUGUCACAGCACUAUAGGCGGAACUUUCGAGAACCGUAAGACUAUUACUAUAAAAGGACAAGUCACUUUGUCCGAAGCCUUUUUCAAUCAACAUAUCUCGAGCUGCAGUGCAAGUUUUAUCAUGUAUUUACCAAAGUCAAUUUAUCAGUUCCUUGGUGUAUUUUUAUUCAACCAGGGUCCUAUUAACUGGUACAUUACAUGUACAUGUUAGGGUGCGGAGCGUGACCUUACUAUCACCUUCAAGAUCCCGCAGUACUUUUCUGAGUGGACGCUGCCGGAAGCGAGGUGCUCUGGCUUGGCGAUCCAGAAAGUACUUGACUACCGUAGAACAAAGAAACACACCUGCAU